rnacentral:siRNA from 1 species
UUGCCCUGACUGAUGGUACAUA